GUAAAGUACUUUCAGCAGUGAGGAAGGUGGAUAUGUUAAUAGCAUACUCAUUUGACGUUAGCUGCAGAAGAAGCACCGGCUAACUCCGUGCCAGCAGCCGCGGUAAUACGGAGGGUGCGAGCGUUAAUCGGAAUUACUGGGCGUAAAGCGCAUGCAGGUGGUUUGUUAAGUCAGAUGUGAAAGCCCGGGGCUCAACCUCGGAAUUGCAUUUAGAAACUGGCAAACUAGAGUACUGUAGAGGGGGUAGAAUUUCAGGUGUAGCGGUGAAAAUGCGUAGAGAUCUGAAGGAAUACCGGUGGCGAAGGCGGCCCCCUGGACAGAUACUGACACUCAGAUGCGAAAGCGUGGGGACGCAAACAGGAUUAGAUACCCUGGUAG
rnacentral:rRNA from 1 species